rnacentral:rRNA from 1 species
CCCUAGUAACUGCGAGUGAAGCGGGAAAAGCUCAAAUUUAAAAUCUGGCGGCUUAUAGUCGUCCGAGUUGUAUUCUGGAGAAGUGCUUUCUGCGCUGGACCGUGUACAAGUCCCUUGGAACAGGGCGUCAUAGAGGGUGAGAAUCCCGUCUUUGACACGGACUACCAGUGCUUUGUGAUGCGCUCUCAAAGAGUCGAGUUGUUUGGGAAUGCAGCUCAAAAUGGGUGGUAAAUUCCAUCUAAAGCUAAAUACAGGCGAGAGACCGAUAGCGAACAAGUACCGUGAGGGAAAGAUGAAAAGCACUUUGGAAAGAGAGUUAAACAGUACGUGAAAUUGCUGAAAGGGAAACGAUUGAAGUCAGUCGCGUUGUCUGGAAGUCAGCCUUGCAAUUUUGUUUGGUGUAUUUUUCAGAUUGACGGGCCAGCAUCGAUUUUGACCGUUGGAUAAAGAUGAGGGGAAUGUGGCACCUUCGGGUGUGUUAUAGCCCCUUGUCACAUACAACGGUUGGGAUCGAGGAACUCAGCACGCCUUUAUUGGUCGGGGUUCGCCCACGUUCGUGCUUAGGAUGCUGGCAUAAUGGCUUUAAACGACCCGUCUUGAAACACGGACCAAGGAGUCUAACAUACCUGCGAGUGUUUGGGUGGUAAACCCGAGCGCGUAAUUAAAGUAAAAGUUGAGAUCCCCGUUACAAGGGAGCAUCGACGCCCGGACUUGACCUUCUGUGAUAGCUCUGCGGUAGAGCAUGUAUGUUGGGACCCGAAAGAUGGUGAACUAUGCCUGAAUAGGGUGAAGCCAGAGGAAACUCUGGUGGAGGCUCGUAGCGAUUCUGACGUGCAAAUCGAUCGUCAAAUUUGGGUAUAGGGGCGAAAGACUAAUCGAACCAUCUAGUAGCU